rnacentral:rRNA from 1 species
AACGUAGGGUGCAAGCGUUGUCCGGAAUUACUGGGUGUAAAGGGAGCGCAGGCGGCCUGUUAAGUCAGCGGUAAAAGCCCGGGGCUCAACCCCGGCGAGCCGUUGAAACUGGCGGGCUGGAGUUGGAGAGAAGUACGCGGAAUGCGCGGUGUAGCGGUGAAAUGCUUAGAUAUCGCGCAGAACCCCGAUUGCGAAGGCAGCGUACCGGCUCCACACUGACGCUGAGGCACGAAAGCGUGGGUAUCGAACAGG